rnacentral:rRNA from 1 species
UGAGGAAUAUUGGUCAAUGGGCGCAAGCCUGAACCAGCCAUCCCGCGUGAAGGAAGAAUGCGCUAUGCGUUGUAAACUUCUUUUCCAGGGGAAUAAAAUUUCGUACGAGUACGGGACUGAAGGUACCUUGGGAAUAAGCAUCGGCUAACUCCGUGCCAGCAGCCGCGGUAAUACGGAGGAUGCGAGCGUUAUCCGGAUUCAUUGGGUUUAAAGGGUGCGUAGGCGGAUUAAUAAGUCAGUGGUGAAAACCUGCAGCUUAACUGUAGAACUGCCAUUGAUACUGUUAGUCUUGAGUACGGUCAAGGUAGGCGGAAUGUGUAAUGUAGCGGUGAAAUGCUUAGAUAUUACACAGAACACCGAUUGCGAAGGCAGCUUACUGGGCCAUUACUGACGCUGAUGCACGAAAGCGUGGGGAGCGAACA